UACGAAGGGGGCUAGCGUUGCUCGGAAUGACUGGGCGUAAAGGGCGCGUAGGCGGCGGUCACAGUCAGAUGUGAAAUCCCUGGGCUCAACCUAGGACGUGCACCUGAAACUGGUAAGCUUGAGUCUCGGAGAGGUUGGUGGAAUUCCCAGUGUAGAGGUGAAAUUCGUAGAUAUUGGGAGGAACACCGGUGGCGAAGGCGGCCAACUGGACGAAGACUGACGCUGAGGUGCGAAAGCGUGGGGAUCAAACAGG
rnacentral:rRNA from 1 species